UACGUAGGUGACAAGCGUUGUCCGGAUUUACUGGGCGUAAAGAGCGCGCAGGCGGUCGAUCAAGUCGAGUGUGAAAGCCCCCGGCUCAACUGGGGAGGGUCAUUCGAUACUGAUCGACUCGAAGGCAGGAGAGGGUAGUGGAAUUCCCGGUGUAGUGGUGAAAUGCGUAGAUAUUGGGAGGAACACCAGAUGCGAAGGCGGGUCACUGGGCUGAUACUGACGCUGAUGCGCGAAAGCCAGGGGAGCGAACGGG
rnacentral:rRNA from 1 species